GGUUUUUCAUAAAUAGGUCUAAUUAUUUUGAGAUAUGUUCCACCAAUAUUUAGUUUAUUGAGAGUUUUUAACAUCAAGAGAUGUUGAAUUGUAUCGAAGUCCUUAUCUGCAUCUAUUGAGAUAAUAAUGUGGUUUCUGUCUUUGGUUCUGUUUAUUCAACAUUCUUAAAGAAAAAAAUUUU